rnacentral:rRNA from 1 species
GUGAGGAAUAUUGGACAAUGGGCGCAAGCCUGAUCCAGCCAUGCCGCGUGCAGGAAGACGCAUCUAUGGUGUGUAAACUGCUUUUGUACGGGAAGAAACACUCCCUCGUGAGGGAGCUUGACGGUACCGUAAGAAUAAGGAUCGGCUAACUCCGUGCCAGCAGCCGCGGUAAUACGGAGGAUCCAAGCGUUAUCCGGAAUCAUUGGGUUUAAAGGGUCCGUAGGCGGUUUAAUAAGUCAGUGGUGAAAGCCCAUCGCUCAACGAUGGAACGGCCAUUGAUACUGUUAGACUUGAAUUACAAGGAAGUAACUAGAAUAUGUAGUGUAGCGGUGAAAUGCUUAGAUAUUACAUGGAAUACCAAUUGCGAAGGCAGCUCACUAAGGCGAUACUGACGCUGAGGCACGAAAGCGUGGGGAUCGAACAGGAUUAGAAACCCCAGUAGUCC